AUUUUCAAUGAAGGGUAGGAGGGAGUUAGACAGGGGUUGGGGCGGGGCCAGUGAGCAGGAUGCCUGGGUCUCCAGUUCCUGCCAGUGAGUCCCUAGGCCUCCAUCUCUCUCCCUUGCUGUACCACCUUCACCACCAUCCAUGCGACCCCAAGAGCCUUAAUGACUCUAGAAGAGACUCCAGGCAGGGGAAGCUGAAAGGACCUUUCACUCCCUACUUUUGGCCAGGGCCUUCUGUGCCACCUGCCAAGACCAGCAGAUAUAACUUCCCCAAGUCACACAGUGGUAUCAGAGCUAAGAAUGGGACCCAGAUAUGACUGAUCUAGUUCUGUUCCAAAACCGUGCUGUAUUAUAUUAACGCCUACCCUCUGAAGAGGUCCAAGCAACGGAAGUACUACUACGAAGCUGCCUUUCUGGCCAUCCUUGAGAAAAAUAGACAGAUGGCCAAGGAGAGGGGCCUAAUAAGCCCCAGUGAUUUUGCCCAGCUGCAAAAAUACAUGGAAUACUCCACCAAAAAGGUCAGUGAUGUCCUAAAGCUCUUCGAGGAUGGCGAGAUGGCUAAAUAUGUCCAA
rnacentral:lncRNA from 10 species